CUUGUCCUGUGUGGGGUCCACUACUUUUCUCACAGUCAAAACAGUUAUGUUGAUUCGACUUAAACUUAUUUCGUGACAUUCUGCAGUCUCUUCGUGAGUUACAUCAUGGCAACGGACAAAGGAUGGCCUCCCUUGAACGGACAGACUUUCACGUGGCUGUAACAAAUAUGGUGAAAUGAUCGAUCAACGUGGAAGAGCGGGCGCCUCGUUUAUGGAAAAUAACAACUGAACAGACCGCGGUACACGCCUGCCUUUCCGACUGGAUAGCUCCCCAAUGUUCUUUGGUCCGUUAUGAGACAUCUUCUGAUCCCUUAGAGUCAGCGAAAGUCGUCUGGAAAGCUGUCUAAUGGGAGGAAUGGGGUUGCUGCUCAGAGAAUACCACGGAUGGAAAGGACUAGGAGAGGUUUACGUAGUGAGCAAGUAUGGUCUAGUUUCACUCGCGCUGAUGGAAGAAGCAGCUGCAAGAUGUAGCCAGAAUUGAGAGCGUACCGAAGGGCAUGAAAUUUGAACAUAACAAGUAGAUUCACAAGACACUGGCUGCAACCAGGAUUAACCACUGAUCGACUGAACCAUAUCCAACUUACAAGUUUAUUUGUUUAUUAAGAUUCAACACAGAAGUGUAAGGGGCGAGGGAACAGGUAAUGGCACCUUUGCCGGCCCUCGCCCCGACUUAAAAAUACAAGUGUGAUUCAGCUAACGAAAUAUAGAAACGGUCCAUUACUUUUAUGUAGAACGCAGUUUUGAGUGUAAUCAUUAGUUUCAUGUGUUAGACGAACACAAACUGUUUUAACGUUUCCUUUAAUCAUCCUUUACUCCUGGGGUGGCUGGAAAGUUAAGAAAUCGGCCAAAUAGACGGAUAACAUGCAAGAGGGGUUUGUCCGUUAUAGGAGUACAUUUUGCUCAGGUCGGCAAACUGUAAACCUUUAGCGGACUAACUCCUCCGACAUAAUAUCUGUCUAUUAGGCCUAUUUCUCUUUCCAGCCGCUUUUAGUAGUCACAGCUUAUAAACGCACCACGUAUUUACUGAUAGCGUCUACGAAAAUUAUCAUCCUUUGAUAUUGCCAAGAAGAGUAAGAUAUGUAUUGUCUGCUUUUCAACACACCUUGUCAUGUAUGUAUGAAAGGAAUACGCCUACCUUGUGAAAGAUAUCGAUGUAGUUCAAAAUUGAUCAUCAUAAUUCAAGGAGCUAAGUAUCAUAAACAGGUAUGAUUGAUGACUACGCUGUAACGUCUUAUUCAAUUGAGUAGUUCUUUUGUGAUCCAUUGAACAGGUUGACAAAAUAUUUGUGCAAAAUCUA